rnacentral:rRNA from 1 species
UACGUAGGGUGCAAGCGUUAAUCGGAAUUACUGGGCGUAAAGCGUGCGCAGGCGGUUUUGUAAGUCAGAUGUGAAAUCCCCGGGCUCAACCUGGGAAUUGCGAUGGAGACUGCAUGGCUAGAGUUUGGCAGAGGGGGGUAGAAUUCCACGUGUAGCAGUGAAAUGCGUAGAUAUGUGGAGGAACACCGAUGGCGAAGGCAGCCCCCUGGGUCAAGACUGACGCUCAUGCACGAAAGCGUGGGGAGCAAACAGG